GGUGAAGUGACAGAGUGGCUUAAGGUGCUCCCCUGCUAAGGGAGUGGAUGUUAACAGCGUCCCGAGGGUUCGAAUCCCUCCUUCACCGCCA
rnacentral:tRNA from 1 species